UUGACCUCGGAUCAGGUAGGGAUACCCGCUGAACUUAAGCAUAUCAAUAAGCGGAGGAAAAGAAACCAACAGGGAUUACCUCAGUAACGGCGAGUGAAGCGGUAACAGCUCAAAUUUGAAAUCUGGCCUCACGGUCCGAGUUGUAAUUUGUAGAGGAUGCUUCGAGCAUGGUCUGGCCUAAGUUCCUUGGAACAGGACGUCAUAGAGGGUGAGAAUCCCGUAUGCGGCCAGGUGCCUACGCUCAUGUGAAGCUCCUUCGACGAGUCGAGUUGUUUGGGAAUGCAGCUCAAAAUGGGUGGUAAAUUUCAUCUAAAGCUAAAUAUUGGCCAGAGACCGAUAGCGCACAAGUAGAGUGAUCGAAAGAUGAAAAGCACUUUGGAAAGAGAGUUAAACAGUACGUGAAAUUGUUGAAAGGGAAGCGCUUGCAACCAGACUUGCGCGCGGCCGAUCAUCCGGUGUUCUCACCGGUGCACUCGGCCGUGCUCAGGCCAGCAUCGGUUUUGGCGGCUGGAUAAAGGCCCUAGGAAUGUGGCUCCUCUCGGGGAGUGUUAUAGCCUAGGGUGCAAUGCAGCCU
rnacentral:rRNA from 1 species